rnacentral:rRNA from 1 species
AUUGAACGCUGGCGGCAUGCCUUACACAUGCAAGUCGAACGGUAACAGGUCUUCGGAUGCUGACGAGUGGCGAACGGGUGAGUAAUACAUCGGAACGUGCCUAGUAGUGGGGGAUAACUACUCGAAAGAGUGGCUAAUACCGCAUGAGAUCUACGGAUGAAAGCGGGGGAUCGCAAGACCUUGUGCUACUAGAGCGGCCGAUGGCAGAUUAGGUAGUUGGUGGGAUAAAAGCUUACCAAGCCGACGAUCUGUAGCUGGUCUGCGAGGACGAUCAGCCACACUGGGACUGAGACAAGGCCCAGACUCCUACGGGAGGCAGCAGUGGGGAAUUUUGGACAAUGGGCGAAAGCCUGAUCCAGCAAUGCCGCGUGCAGGAUGAAGGCCUUCGGGUUGUAAACUGCUUUUGUACGGAACGAAAAGCCCCGGGUUAAUACCCUGGGGUCAUGACGGUACCGUAAGAAUAAGCACCGGCUAACUACGUGCCAGCCGCCGCCGUAA